rnacentral:lncRNA from 1 species
GUUUAUCCCUGAAGAAAUGAGAGGACUGAUAAUUUGGACACAUUAGAAAAAUAACAGGAAUCAUGUUUUUUCCUAUUGACUGGAAAUGUCUCUAACCUCUAAAAAUACAAUUUUUCUCUCACCUUAAUUCUGAGAUAGCGUGGGCUCUAAGCAUAAUUCCAUUAAUUCAGCCACACAAAGACAUUAGAAUUUUGUAAGGUGGAUUUUGUAAGGUGUAAAAUAUAUAUCUGUGCCUUGAGUCAUCAAUUCUAGUUCUAGAAUGAUUUGCAGUGCAGUCUCUGUUCCAAUCCCCUUUGUUUAAGUAAGAUGUAACCCUAUUUUUACAGAUGAGAUAACUGAGUCCAGAGAGAUAGGUUUGUUGAGUGAUUUGUUGAGUCAUAAACUUGUAGUGAAAUCUAGAAUUCAGAUCUUCUACUUCUCAUGCUAUUUUAUCUCCCAGAGAACCAAAGGAUAUCCCCCCAUAGAGUUCUUUAUCUUUGGGUAUUCAGUCAUUCCACAGCUGCUGAGCACAGCUGGGCUGCUGCUUCAGAUAGUGGCAAGUUCCUUGUCUGUCUUAGCCAAGCACUAACACAGCUACCUGCAGAGAAUUCAGAUGAGGGACAUGUAAAAGACAUAUGCUAAGGAGGACAUAUGACUACUGCCCUACCAACUGGGAAGGGGAAAAUUGAGCUAAGGACUUUCAUGUUAGAGCAAGUUGGCUCAAUAUUAUCAUGACCAUCUAAAUUACUUUUGGUUCACAUCCUUAUGCAUGUAUUAUUUAGUGACAUAGGUAAGAGAGUUACACUGCUAGAAUAUCAAAUAGGGCUCAAGGCUUUAGGGCUGACACAUUCUUAAUGGCAACACAUUAGACUGAAAAGAAUAAUGGGCAUAGUUAGCCAAAGACUAUUUUCAGUCCAAUCUUUCCAAUAUGAUCACCAACCAAAGUGAUCCAAAAACAAAGAAAGGAGGUAGCUCCCAUAUUCUUGGUACUUGAUUACAACAGAUAAAUAAUGAAUUUUCAGCUUCUCCAUACCCAGACACAUAGCAAUUCACAGAUUUAGAUACUAGCAAAUAGAUGUUCCUCUAACUGCUCAAAUGUCACAGAGUUACAAAGAAUAGGAUGAAAAAGAAGAAGCAAGCAGUCACAAAAUAUUCCCAUACAAUGUUGACUGAUCCGAAGAUACAUAAGUGUGGUGACCUAAAAGUUUCUGAUGGAAUCUCAGAAAAGAGAUUUCCAGCACUAGUUUUAUAACCCAAUAGUCAUGUGCUCCUGUAGGUCUGGGUUCUCCUUAAUGUGGG